rnacentral:rRNA from 1 species
UACAGAGGUCUCAAGCGUUGUUCGGAUUCAUUGGGCGUAAAGGGUGCGUAGGUGGUUAGGUAAGUCGGAUGUGAAAUCCCGGGGCUCAACCCUGGAACUGCAUUCGAUACUGCCUGACUUGAGUACUGGAGAGGAGAUUGGAAUUUACGGUGUAGCAGUGAAAUGCGUAGAUAUCGUAAGGAAGACCAGUGGCGAAGGCGGAUCUCUGGACAGUUACUGACACUAGGCACGAAGGCCAGGGGAGCAAACGGG